rnacentral:rRNA from 1 species
UACAGAGACUGCGAGCGUUAUUCGGAUUCACUGGGCGUAAAGGGUGCGCAGGCGGCCAAGUGUGUGAGGCGUGAAAGCCUGGAGCUUAACUCCAGAAUUGCACCUCAAACUACUUGGCUAGAGCAUUGGAGAGGGUAGCGGAAUUCACGGUGUAGCAGUGAAAUGCGUAGAUAUCUGGAGGAACACCGGUGGCGAAGGCGGCGUUCUGGACUGUUUCUGACACUGAAAAACGAAAGCCAGGGGAGCAAACGGG